AUUGAACGCUGGCGGCAGGCCUAACACAUGCAAGUCGAGCGAGCGGCGGGCGGGUGAGUAAUGUAUGGGGACUGCCCGCUAGAGGGGGGUAACUACUGUAAACGGUAGCUCAUACCGCAUACUAUCGGAUAACCCAUAUGGGAUUGGCUAGUGGGUGGGGUAAAGGCUCACCUAGGCGACGAUCCCUAGCUGGUCUGAGAGGAUGAUCAGCCACACUGGGACUGAGACACGGCCCAGACUCCUACGGAGGCAGCAGUUGGGAAUAUUGCAAAAUGGGGGCAAGCCUGAUUCCGCCAUGCCGCGUGGAUGAAGAAGGCCCUAGGGUUGUAAAGGACUUUCAGGCGGGAGGCGUUACCGACAGAAGAAGCACCGGCUAACUCCGUGCCAGCAGCCGCGGUAAUAC
rnacentral:rRNA from 1 species